GGUGGCUCAGUGGUAGAGCUCUUGCCUAGCAUGCAUGAGGCCCUGGGUUCGAUUCCUCAGUACCG
rnacentral:tRNA from 1 species